rnacentral:rRNA from 1 species
UACGUAGGGGGCGAGCGUUGUCCGGAUUUAUUGGGCGUAAAGAGCGCGCAGGCGGUCGUCCAAGUCGCGUGUGAAAGCCCCCGGCUCAACUGGGGAGGGUCACGCGAUACUGAUCGACUCGAAGGCAGGAGAGGGUAGUGGAAUUCCCGGUGUAGUGGUGAAAUGCGUAGAUAUCGAGAGGAACACCUGCGGCGAAGGCGGGUUGCUGGGCUGACACUGACGCUGAGGCGCGAAAGCCAGGGGAGCGAACGGG